GGGCAUCUUUCACUGCAACUCUAUAUUCUAAAGCACCGGCGCUGGGUGCCUCAUUUGCUGAAUUGCUGGGUGGGUUCUGCUGACACAGAAAAAAUAAGAAAGAGAAGAGUACAUGGGAAGAAAGGAAAGAGAAGAAAUUGAGAGGGUUAUUCGCCUCGCAAAAAGAGAGACAGAGAGGUGGAGAGAAUUGUUGGAUUGAUAGAGAGCGAGAGACAGAGAGGUGUUGUUGAAAUUGUUAUUCAUUUUGAGGCUUAUGGAUUUUCAGAGAGGAUGAGUGCAGUAUUGAAACAAACUAACUGAGA